ACAGCUCCGAGGAGACAGUGACCAUC
rnacentral:piRNA from 1 species